AAGCUAUGUGGAGACUUCGGCAGAUACUGAUGUAAACUAGUGCAUGAUGUGAUCUGUGUGCUGAUUCCUGAGAGAAGAGCCUCAGGCACAGCUGGCCUUCAGCAGUACCAUUGACUGCAGCUUUGCUCCUGGGCAUAAAGGCAAUGAGCCCCAUGUGAGGGAUGGGUUCUGCCUUAGAGACUCGUGCCCAGCUGCAGCAAGUGCCCAGGUGUGCCUCUUCUGCUGCUGGGAAUCAAGCUGUUGGCUCCUGAAGAGUGAGACUAUCUGAUCUGGAGGGGAUCUCAAGCCUGUUGCAGGGCACACACAUGGAGCCUUGAAACUGCUUGCUUCCUUUCUGGACUUUCUGUUCAGCUCUUCAAACAAAUAGUCUUUGACCAGUUAAUAAUUGAUGAAGAAAAUAGCUGUAUCAGUUGCACAAUGCUAUUGGUAUGACAACCAACCAGGAAGCUGUGCUAAAAGUAGAUCUUUGCUCAUGGUACUUGGGUACUUCCCUUGUCCUUUGAGUGCACUGAUUCCGGGAAGCCAGCACCAUUUCUCUCCUGUGAUUUUAUUGAUGAUAUGUUCUCGGUCACUCUGUGCUUUGCUUUUUGAAACUAACCUUGAGCUGGUUUAUGCAGGGGAUAGAGAAGAGCAGAACAGGAUGCAAGAACCUUCAGCAGUGAAAGGAUUUACCUGAUCUGAUACCAUUAGGAUUUAUUGCAGCUUUGUCUCCAGGCAACAGCAAAUAUUUCUCCUGAAUACUCUGGAUGAGCAGAUGCCAACAUUGAUUCACAGGAAAAGGAUGUAGCCACGCAAGCCAUAGAAAUGUUGUUUGGGAUGGUAGCCACGGCCCCUAAGGACACGUUAAGCAAUAUGGAACAAACGCCAAUGAAACUCUUAAAGCUCUUGCAGUGUUUGCUAUAAAGAGAUUUCUUGAGCAGUCUCAGCAAUUUUUCUGACCAGAAAAACGCUUCCAGUGUGGAUGAAAACAGAGCAGGAGAUGUUUUGAAAACAUGUAAAAGUUUGUUUCAAAAGCGAGCAGUUGAUUGUCAGCAAUCUGUAGCGUGCUGAGCCGAGAGGACAGUGUGGUGGAAAUACCUAUGAAGCAGUGAGAGCCUUAUCAAGGUACUGUACCAGGAAAUACACCGCUUUCUUUCCUACUUCAUGCACGAUACUAUGAUUAAACCCAGCAGCACGCCUCAUCAUAACAUGUGCCUUAUCAGCCCCAUUAUCUGAUGACAACAGCAGCCCUCGGGAGACCAGACUGACAUCAUCCAAAACCUCAGUAGUUCAAGACUUGAGCAUGUAGCUAGGCUGCAAGCUGUGCUUGACUGUGUUGAUCUGUUUGUACUAAACUUGCAGGUACUUUGCUGGAGGAAAAGGAAUAUAAAAAUCAAGCCCAAACAAUGUUUCAGAACGUUCCUGACAGGCUGUUAUGCUAUUUAGCAAAUGAAUGCAGCAAGCAAAGGAGGCUUUUGUCCCCAGCAAGUACCACAAGUCUGCUCCACAGCUUUCUGUAGCUUUGAGAGAGGGGAAAAAAAGGUCAAACCAAGACAUUGUCACUGCCCUGAGGACGGUGCUACCGGUGAUGUGGUUUGGUACGGAGUCCCACUCCCAGCUGACCCCAAUUCAAUUGAUGUGGCUGUGAGGUUUAGGUUCAUCCUGUAUCACAAAUAGGGGCCAGCUGUUGGUCAGGUGGAGCUCUGAAUCUCAAGAUACUAAACUUCAUCAUGGCUGGUUCAUUGCCAGUCUUCUUGUUUGGUUACUGCUGCUUCACUGAGGCAAAGCAUACUGGCUCUGGCCUUCCGGCCUCCUUUCUGUAAUUUAUAAUGAGAAUUUCUACAGUCACAAAAAGAAGAAUCAGAGAAUAGAGUUGGCUU